AAAGAUUUAUCACAGUAGAACUCCAAAGAAAGACAUAAGAACUGCUGCUGCCUUACAACCACAGGCAGCUGGAGUAAUCUAGUGUCCAUCCCCACUUGAUUAAUUUCGUGCCAGCUUGUGAAAGGCGUGAGGAAUUCAAAUUUAGCUGCUGCGUGCUGUCUGCAAGCAAGCAAUCCAAUUGGCUGUCGCUAGGUGGCGCGAGUGUCUUCAGGGGACCAAAUUCGGCCAUUUUGUUCCUUGACGCAGCAGAAGUGGGAUGCUGGUCGUGACGUUUCCCAUGAUGAAAAUGUAAAGGUGAUUUCAAUACCACUUUGUCAAAUCAUGUAACUCGGACUUGAGUGCCUGUCCAUUUUGCCGAAAUGUCGUGCCUCGUGUGUCUUGCUGCCUGCACCCAGUCGUACGUCUCGUCCCAUGACAAAGCAAAAGUCCGCUGUUGGUUACCUUGUUGCAGCCAGGUGGUGAAAGAUGUGAUGGAGACUAAUUGAACUGUUGUAUGCAGCGUGUGGUUCCAGUGUUAUCCAGAAGUAGCUGUGCUGGCGGUAUCCUGAAGCAGCCUGAAUUUGCCAGUGAUAUCCGGGUUGCUGCCUUAAAGUUAAACAUUUUUCUCUCUUUGCAUUUGUGUAUUUUGCUCUGCCAAUGCUAUCCUGUGUUUGAAAUCUU
rnacentral:lncRNA from 1 species